UAUGAACCAAAUGGAUUGUGUUCACUGAAUGGACUAAGCUCCUGGAAGAAAAAAACCCCAAACCUGUAUAACCCUCCUUGUUUGAAGAAGGAAGAUGUGUAGAGAAGGAGAAAGGAGCUCAGAGAAAGAAAACAUGGGUUCAAUGACAAAGACAGCUGGAUGCUGCCCUGAGGAAAAGAGUCCUGUUGAAAUAGGAGCCAAGCCUAAAAGAGUUAACUGAGAUAUCUUGGCCUGAUAAGAAACCUCAAUACCUGUUUUGCUAGAAGAACAUUUUAAGAGCACUGGUUAAUAUCAUGUUCUGUUCUGCUCACUGGACCAAAGGCCUUAUUAUAGAAAGAAUAGGAGUAGUACACACACAGUAAUAAAUUAGGUAAACUAGACGUUUCAAUAAGAUCUAGAAGGCCCAGAGCCAGGAUUUUGCAAGCUUGAAGAAUUCAGGUCACCUAAUUGAAGAGGUCAAAUUGAGGAAGACAUCCAUGGCAACCACCAGAGGGAUGAAGGCUUGAGGAGAAGACCCCCACAGUAGAAGACUGUGCAUGUCUGGAAAGACUCUGCCCUGAGACCGGCCUGCUUAUUAAUAUGUAUAAUAAAUGAUGUAACCAUGUAUCUAAAGGGUAUAAAAUGGCUUAGUUUUGCACUUGCAAGUGGACCAAGUUUUUGCUUGCUCCCAGCGCUGUCAAUAAAUACCUUUGCUGCUCAAAGAUCAAAAGCCUCUGGGCAGUUUAUUAUACCAAAUUUUUCGGAUUCACUGUCCCUACCUUCAUCUCACCACCUACCUGUGAUUUGGGCAAGCUCCUUAAUGCAGAUUUUUCACAAGCAACAAUCAUUUUCUGAGUUCCCUCCUACAAGAAAAGCUAUAAGCAACGAGGCAACGUAUGGGAACCACAGUCUGAUAACUUUGGCCACUACCAGCAUUCAGUGUUGGACACUGGAGAACAGGUUUACCUUUGGAAUCCCCAGGCUGAGAACAGGACCCAGUGCAAUCCCAGAUGUAGGCUGGCAGCAGUAACCAUCUGCAGGUGCCUAGAUUUCCACACCCCUGCAAAACCUCUCCUUAGUUCUGAAGGGCAGUCCUUCCUUCAGGUUCAUUCUGAGCGUGGGAUCAGAGCACCUUUCUUGGGAACAGCACUGGCCCAGCAAGAGCAGAGGAACCUUCGGUGUGCAGGAACCCUUGAGGUGGGCACAAGCAGCUAAGGUUCAGUGUUUGGCACAGAAGCAGUGAGAAGGUGACAGAGUGGAUAUAAAGAGCUGAUAAGGACCUGCAACUUUGGCUCCCUUCUUUCCCAGUGUGGCAUCCAGAGGAGCCAGCUCUGGGGAAACAGCCUGCUGCCUCUGAGAAGUCACAUCCCAGUAAUCCCCUCAGCAUUUACCAUUACUCCUCGAUUUUCAGCAAAGAGCCUCUUUGUAGCCUCUACAUUGAGAAGAUUGCCUGGAUUUUUCGCUGGAACCAUUUAUGCCUGUUUUUUCU